AUUGAACGCUGGCGGCAUGCCUUACACAUGCAAGUCGAACGGUAACGGGCCUUCGGGUGCCGACGAGUGGCGAACGGGUGAGUAAUGUAUCGGAACGUACCUUUCAGUGGGGGAUAACGUAGCGAAAGUUACGCUAAUACCGCAUAUUCUGUGAGCAGGAAAGCAGGGGAUCGCAAGACCUUGCGCUGAUUGAGCGGCCGAUGUCAGAUUAGCUAGUUGGUGAGGUAAAGGCUCACCAAGGCGACGAUCUGUAGCGGGUCUGAGAGGAUGAUCCGCCACACUGGGACUGAGACACGGCCCAGACGGCUCCGGGAGGCAGAAGUGGGGAAUUUUGGACAAUGGGGGCAACCCUGAUCCAGCCAUGCCGCGUGGGUGAAGAAGGCCUUCGGGUUGUAAAGCUCUUUCGGCCGGGAAGAAAUCGCACAGGCUAAUACCUUGUGUGGAUGACGGUACCGGAAUAAGAAGCACCGGCUAACUACGUGCCAGCCGCCGCCGUAAGAC
rnacentral:rRNA from 1 species